rnacentral:tRNA from 1 species
GCUCUCGUAGCUCAGUUGGUAGAGCGCGGCACUAGUACCAUGCGUUAGUCACGUGAUGCCGAGAUGCCGAGGUCUACGGUUCAACUCCGUACGGGAGCA